ACAGCUGUGAUUGCUGUUUUCUCCCUUCCUCUGCUGUACAAAAAACAACAGGUGCGGAUACGGAGGGUGAUUAGAGCGGCAAAAGCUUUCGUAAAGAGAAUCCAAAAUACAUGCGACAGUCUGUGUAAUAUGGUGAGACCCUCUCAGGGUGCUGCAGUCGCACCAAAACCUGCACCGGUGUCCGCCGUCAAACAGAAAGUGAAGUCAAAGUAACAUGCUGGACUGUUGG